rnacentral:lncRNA from 1 species
CUUUCGUUAAAGAAACUGGCAUAAAUAUCCUGUAAAUAAAUUUCAUUGAUUUUUUUUUUAUAUAUAUUUCCAAAUAUUCUACGAUUUUAUAACUCUAAGCUAUCGCCAUUAAUCGUAUUGUUACAACCAUCUCUAUGACUUUUUGCGACUUGCAGUCGGACUGGUCUGGUCUGUCCAUCUGUCCCGCUUUUUGGCUAUGUGCUUUGGUGGCGUUGACAAUCAACGCAAAUAGCUCAAACGCCUCAAGUGUUUGGCUGCUGCUGCUGCUGCUGAAGAUGUCACCCACACUUCAGGUUCUCUCUGGGGGCUUCAUCUGCAUCUCCGCCAAACUCCAAGUUCGUUUCUCGAGUCUUUUGUUUAGACAACGUCAAACGAUGGUGGCAGAAGUCGAUGAUGGCUAGAUGGCUCGCUGGCUCGCUGCUGGCUGUUCCCUUAGUUUGACUUUUGCAAUUUGGCACAGAGGCACUAACAACAGCAGCAACCCAAGAAGCAGUAAGCAGCGCACAAGAAGGAAGCACAAAUAUUGGCAAUAUUUUCAAUGACUGCUGAAUAUCGCUUACAGUUAAAUGGAAAUUGAUGCACUUAACGCUGACUCACUCAGAGCUCUUCACUGCUUGGAUUCUGUCAUGGAAAUGCAAAGAAAAGAGAAUUCCUCAUUUUCCAGGGCUCUGACUUCUCAGCAACUUGCCAGCAACGUGACUUUGAAUAAAUUAAAAGACUGCCAUCACAUACAUAAGAUAUCUGGGAUUCGGAGGCAUUCAAACAGCGUAAAGAAAUGGAGCAAAAUGAUGAGCGAAAAACCAUAAAAUAAAUCAAACUUUUGUCUGCAAAUUUCAGUGCAUCAUUAAUAUGGAUCAGCCAGUCAUAUAUGUAGACUUUAAGACUGUCGUAAAACCACAAGCGAUUGUAAUUAUUUUUCAUAAAUUUCCAUUUGAAUAAAUUGCAAUUAAUUUAAUUUAAUUAACAGCUCUACAAACACACGUUACAGAGCAAUUCGCGCCGAUCGCCUGCCUCCUGCAUGCUGAAUCCUGUUGCAACAACCACUUGUCGCAUUUUAUUAUCAGCAACGGCAACUGUCAAAAACUCAUGCUAAAUGCCAUAAGAUAUAAGAUUUUAUAUCCAGCAGCACAUCGGGCUACAAAUGGCACAACAAAUUCGUGCAGAGCUACCAAUCCACAUCGAACCACCAGAGCCACCAGGGCAACCAAAGAGGUGCCACCACCACCACACCUGAACGACAAUGAGG